CUUCCUUCUGAGUCUCGGGCAGGGCCCUCUCUGGAAUGGAGGUCUUGGGACCUACAAUGAAACAAGACAGAUCAGUGAAGAUCCCGGUGUUACACAUCCAAUCGUUCACCUCCUUCCAAGACUAUGACAUUCCAGGAAACCUUCACUGCUAAGAGGAACUAAGAUCUAGAGUAUCUCCUCGAGGAAGUACAACUGACUUGUCUUUGGACAAAAUUGAGAAGAACUCAUAAACUUGGCUUCCUCGCUUCUGCUCCUCAGACGCGCGUGGAUGAUUUGAAGAUAUUAGCCUAACAAGAUGGAAGCAGGUUUAAAAUUUUACAUAAGAAGUUACCUUUUUCAGUUGUGUUGAUGUUCCUUUCAGCUGGUCCUAUAGUACCCCUCCUCAGGAAUGUCUCCCCAGUGCAAGGACAAAGACUGAAGAGACUGCUAUAUUGAUGGACUCUCAAGCCAACUAUGAAGUUGAAACAAAGAAAGUGAUCACCUGAAGACACCUCCUCUGCUAAGAAACACCCCCAAAUUGUGCAGCUUCUGCCACUAGAACUCUCAGAACAAGAGACAAUCUUUUCAAGAAACAGAAAAACUCAAUAAUGACAUCUAGAUUUUCAUGAGCCAAGAACUUUCCCUUCCUCAUGUGUAUUCCUCUGUUUGUACUUAAAUUCAUGUGACAUUCAUUUUUUUCCUAGUAUGGAUAUGCUUAUUAAUGCACUUGUUUCAAAAUCCCAAAUUGCACAAAUGUGUUAAUAUUUUAAGAAACAAAAUGAAUCCUACAAGGAGAAUGAUUUUUAGCCACACAUAGGGUUGGAUCUUGAGAGUGACCUACAGAAUAAAAGUACUUUUAAAAUAAAGUAGUCAGAGGCUAUUCAAAGGGUAAAAUAAUCAUAGUACCACAUUGGUCCACUUGACACUAACCAAUCGAUCAUUUUUUUUUAAUCAAGAAAGCUAGAUUCUAUCAGAUAAAAUCACUGCUUCUAAAGAGUUUAAAUCUAGUUAGAAAAAGUUAUAGAAAUGUUUGCAAAGAUAAGUAACAGAUAGAGUCAGUAGAGGAUAAGAUCAAAAACAAAACCAAGCAAAAGAUGAGUUCAGGGGAGUUUGCCAUCAAGUUGGCAAAACUGACUUACUUAGGGAAGAAAGUUAUAAAACAGGAAAAUAUGAGAUGAACCUUGAGUGAUGUGGAAGAUUUAGAUAAAUGGAAAGGAAGGAGAAAAUGGAGUUCUUUAGGUGGUUGUAAUUGGAGGAGGAAAUGAAUACACACAUCUUGUUGACUUAAACCCAGACAUUCAGCAGCUCUCUAUACAUAUCUGGAAAAGACUGCACAGUCACCUCCUGUCUCUCACCCCAGGUAUUACUUAGAAUUAUUAUCAUAUUUCCCUUCCUUUAAAGUAAGUAAGGGUGAUUGGUGACAAUAUGGAGAACUAUGAUUUUUCCAUUAACCUAAUAAUAAUUGGUAUUUAUUGAGUUCUGUUAAGCAUUUUACAUAUUAACUCACUUAAGCCUUUCAACAGCCUUGCAAAAUAGGUAUUAUUAUCCCCAUUUUACAGGCAAGAAAACUGAGGUUUAAGUAACUUGCCGAAGUGCCAUAUACAGGGCUCACAUUCAGUAUUGCAGUUGCAAAGCUCAUGAUCUAUAGUGCCAAGUUGCAAUAUUGUAGUCAAUGUCACAAUUAUUACCCCUUUUUAUAUUCCUUGAUAUUUUUCCAUGGCAAACAAUUAGCUAUUUCAUUUAAUAAUCACCUAAAACUUUUCAGUCUUCUGAUUAAAAUUACGCUGGAGUGAUAGAAUGUAUUUUCAUGAUAGAAAUUGGGAAAAAAAAUGGGGAAUGAAGUUUAUCAGCAUUUCAGACUUGUUUUUUUUUUUUUUUUUUGCAAGACUUUGAUGAGAUUGUUCACUUUUGUCUAUGUAAAAUCCCAAAUCCUUGAGAAUAAAAAAGGGGGAGGUUUAAGUCACUUGUUGCAAUGCCCUUUUUAAUAGAGGCAAUAAAUCUAAAGGCCAUAAAUUUAGAGUGACUUACAGAAGAUCGAACUUUGGAGUGUGGCAGAGUAAGGGAUGGAAACCGGGCCCUCCAGUUCACUAUCAGUAGCUUUUGCACUGGUCUGCCCUUCCUAAAUUAAGUAUGCACUUCAAUUUGAUGAGUGGAAACAGUCUAUCUGGGCAGUAACCAGGGAGCUUUGUGCCUAGUAGAUUGCUUCUGUUCUGCACUUCUUUGGUUUCCCACCUCAAUGUAAAAAAUAGCUAGCAAUGAAGUCCAGAAGUUGUCAAUGGUUCAUCCCCAGAAGAAUGCAUAAUGUCCAAAGUUGUAUGUGUAUGAUGUCUUCAAUGGUAUUAAGUUAUUUCAAAUUCUUAGUUCACCUACAUAAAUCAUUUCUAACAAGCAUCUUCUUAACCAACUUUAUGCACAGUGUAUGUUUGUAAGUGCUUCUGCACGAAUGUUUAUACAUGACUGUUUCCAUAGUACUUAUGUUUUUAAAAAUAUUCAGUCAUUUCCUACUAUAAUCCUCAUGUAUCCAUGUAACUGACUCAAAAAUACUUCAGCCACAGAAAGCUAAAACUGAGCAAAUCUCAUUCUUCUUUUCCAUCCCCUUUGCAUGUGGCUGGCAUUUAGUAAUGAUUAAUAAUAUGGCCAGCUGAAUAACAGAGGUUUGAGACACAAUUCUUUCUCAAAGGAGUCAGCUAAGCUGGGUCUACUUAUGGACAAACAUCUAAAUGUGUGGAAGUAUCUGAUAUUUGACAAUGGUAAAUUUCCACUUAGCUAGCUAGCAUUGUCAGACUUCAAUCUCCUCAUGGCUCUGGCCGUCCUGUUUUAAGCAUGAUAAUUGUUGGCCACAUCUCACAUAGUUCUCAUUGAGUGAGUUCAUAAAUAAACAGGGUUUUUUUUUUUUUUUAAAGAGCAGCCAAGCACAAAGUGUGACUUUGUUGACAUUUUAUGUGACUUUGUCAUAUGUUCCUAACCCCCAAUAAAAGCAAUGUUGCAUCAACUGUGAA
rnacentral:lncRNA from 1 species